ensembl:lncRNA
UAUAAUACACAUAUGUAUACAGUACACAUUUUUAUGUGUAUAUAUGUAUAUUUACUUAUAAAUAUUUGCUCAGAAACUAUGAAUUUAUCAGUGAAAGAUAAGGAAACUCCUCCAGUACAGAUCAGCAACUUGUCUGUACUGUAUAGUCUGAAAGAAUUGCCUGGGGCACUGAGAGCCUGAGUGGCUUGCCCCUUUUCACAGUGUGUGUCAGAGGUAGUGCUGUUUCUGAUUCCAAGCCUGGCCCUCCAUGCAUUAUAUCACACUGACUAUCUGAGACAAAAAUUUUCAUGUAUUCAGAAAUAAAUUAUAUAAGUAUAUGCUAAGGGAAGUAAGUAUAGAGAAUCAUUAAUAAUAAAAUAUCUAGGAUUUUGGUGGACUCAGUAAGAGCCAAGAAUCUGACAUACUAUUAGGUGUUCUGAAUAGAAAUUUAGUUUUCAGAAUGAAAGAGAUGAUGUUACUAUUCUACCCUAGUCAGUCCCACACAGGAAUAUUGUGUUUAAUUGCAGAGAACGCAUUUGAGGAAAGAUAUUGAAAAGCUGGAAUACAUCUAGAGAAUAGCUACAUGGAUGAGAAAGGGAUUCAAAGUCAUACUGUGAAUAGAAAGAUUGAAACUCCUACAAAUGUUUAGCGUAAAGAAGAAACUACUGGGGGGAAAGAGUAUGAAGUUUAUGGAAAAAGAUAAUGGCCUCUCCAAAAGGUCCUCAUCUCAGUUUACAGAUUUGUUUCUGGAAAAAACAAAAAGGGGGAAACCCGAAGUUAGUGAAAAAACUAAAGAUGAUGCCUCUGUACCCGUCAAAAGAAGAAAGAUCGUUUUUGAACCCCCUAAAACUGCUACCAACUCUGGUCUCUUAAGAAAUAUUGAAAAUAAAAAAAUAUGGAACACAUAUCAGUCAGCUCUGUCACAGUCUAAGUCAACACCAUCAAAAAUACCAUUAUUUAUGAAUGAAAAACCCUCCCCUCCCUGGGAAGACGAGGGAAAAACGGAGGAAGAAUGUCUACUUGAUUCUUUAAGAAAAAUGGUUAAUGAAAACCAAGAGCUAAGGAAAGAAAAUGAAGAAUUGAAGCAAUUAAUUAAAGAAAUGAAGAAUUCUUUCCUACAUAGGUUAUUUACUCCAGACAUCCAUAUGACGACAAUAGACUAUCUACAGCAACUUUUGAGCCAUUUGGAAAAAACAGCUCCAACGAAUAUUUAUUCUUCAUUCCUAAGAGAUGACUUGAAUCUUCAGGAUAAAAAUACAAAACCUUUGAUUAUAGAUCCUCGGGAUCCAGAUAAAUACUCCAAAGUGCUGAGUAGCCUGCUUGAAGAUAAACUAGAAAAAGUUAAAAUUUUAGCUUGUGAAGCCCCAACAAUCCAAAGCCUGGAUCAGAGUUGCCCUCUAGAAAGCUGAAAAUCCAACCCAUUGCCUCAGUCUCCAAAUUUUCGGGUAGAAUCAGAGGUGUUGGAAAAAAAGGAGAGACAUUUUAGAGGAGAGAAAGUAAUUUCACUAAAUAUUGAUAUUACUCCAGGUUGCUGUUUGGUCACUUCAUUUCAUCCUUAAAGAUACCCUUGUUGUUCAUUUUAAUGUGAUUAUACGCAUAUGUACAUUUGUAAAAUAAAGGUGGAGUGACAGGGUCUCUGAGCCUCA